GCUUGACUGUAUCUUGGAAUUGGGUUCGGGCUUUUCUUGCGCAGACUAGGUGGGAGGCUAUGGAGAUUUUCUUCUGGGAAAGUUGGAGCCAACAGUGAGAGACCACUCUGGAAAGGCUAGAAUUCUAAUGGUGAUCCUUGAAUCAGGACACUUGACAGUUUCAGGUGGGCAGUUUUUCUGGGGCGGAAGCCUCAUAAAAGGUAACUGAGGCGCGCAAAGGUCCCCUCAGUCUGGACGGAAAUCAGACAUUGAGUGUAAAGGCAAAAGGGGGCUUGACUGCAAGACCCACAAGUCGAGCAGGGGCGAAAGCUGGCCUUAGUGAUCCGACGGUGCCGUGUGGAAGGGCCGUCGCUCAACGAAUAAAAGUUA
rnacentral:rRNA from 1 species